rnacentral:rRNA from 1 species
UACAGAGGGGGCAAGCGUUAUUCGGAAUUAUUGGGCGUAAAGGGCGCGUAGGCGGCCAUUCAAGUGACGGGUGAAAGCCCUCGGCUUAACCGAGGAACUGCCUGUCAGACUGGAUGGCUUGAGACCGGGAGAGGUGAGUGGAAUUCCCAGUGUAGCGGUGAAAUGCGUAGAUAUCGUAAGGAAGACCAGUGGCGAAGGCGGGUCUCUGGACAGUUCCUGACGCUGAGGCACGAAGGCCAGGGGAGCAAACGGG